rnacentral:rRNA from 1 species
GACGAACGCUGGCGGCGUGCCUAAUACAUGCAAGUAGAACGCUGAAGGAGGAGCUUGCUUCUCUGGAUGAGUUGCGAACGGGUGAGUAACGCGUAGGUAACCUGCCUGGUAGCGGGGGAUAACUAUUGGAAACGAUAGCUAAUACCGCAUAAUAGUAGAUGUUGCAUGACAUUUGCUUAAAAGGUGCAAUUGCAUCACUACCAGAUGGACCUGCGUUGUAUUAGCUAGUUGGUGAGGUAACGGCUCACCAAGGCGACGAUACAUAGCCGACCUGAGAGGGUGAUCGGCCACACUGGGACUGAGACACGGCCCAGACUCCUACGGGAGGCAGCAGUAGGGAAUCUUCGGCAAUGGACGGAAGUCUGACCGAGCAACGCCGCGUGAGUGAAGAAGGUUUUCGGAUCGUAAAGCUCUGUUGUAAGAGAAGAACGAGUGUGAGAGUGGAAAGCUCACACUGUGACGGUAUCUUACCAGAAAGGGACGGCUAACUACGUG